rnacentral:rRNA from 1 species
AUUGAACGCUGGCGGCAUGCCUAACACAUGCAAGUCGAACGAGUGGCGGACGGGUGAGUAAUGUCUGGUAAACUGCCCGAUGGAGGGGGAAAACUACUGGAAACUGACUCUACUAACGCAUACCAUCGGAUGUGCCCCGAUGGGAUUAGCUAGUAGGUGGGGGAACGGCUCACCUAGGCGGCGACCCCUCGCUGGUCCGAGAGGAUGACCAGCCACACUGGAACUGCGACACGUGCCAGAUUCCUGCGGGAGGGAGAAGUGGGGAAUAUUGCACAAGGGGCGAAAGCCGGAGGCAGCCAGGCCGCGUGUAGGCAGAAGGCCUUCGGGUUGUAAAGUACUUUCAGCGGGGAGGCGUUACCCGCAGAAGAAGCACCGGCUAACUCCGUGCCAGCAGCCGCGGUAAUAC